CCUACGGGUGGCAGCAGUGGGGAAUAUUGCACAAUGGGGGGAACCCUGAUGCAGCGACGCCGCGUGGGUGAAGGAGUAUUUCGGUAUGUAAAGCCCUAUCAGCAGGGAAGAACAAUGACGGUACCUGACUAAGAAGCACCGUCUAAAGACGUGCCAGCAGCCGCGGUAAUACGUAUGGUGCAAGCGUGAUCCGGUGUUACUGGGUUUAUAGGGAGCGCAGGCGCCGCGUGAAACCUGGUGUGAUAGCCCGCGGCAUCACCGCGGGACUGUGUUGGGAACUGGCGAGCUGGAGUGCGGGAGGAGUAGGCGGAAUUCCUAGUGUAGCGGUGAAAUGGGUAGAUAUUAGGAGGAAAGCAAGUGGCGAAGGAGGCCUACUGGACGGUGACUGACGCUGAGGCUCGAAAGCGUGGGGAGCAAACAGGAUUAGAUACCCCAGUAGUC
rnacentral:rRNA from 1 species